GCAAACUUGGUCAUUUAGAGGAAGUAAAAGUCGUAACAAGGUUUCCGUAGGUGAACCUGCGGAAGGAUCAUUACACGAAGAGGCCUCCAUCGGUCUUUCAACCUUGCCUAUCGUACCCUUUUUGUUGUUCCCUCGGCGGGGUAAAGCCCGCCGGCGGGAAGCUCCAAAAACCCUUUGCAAUCAGCAUCUAAAACUCUGAUAUACAAACCUAAUCGUUACAACUUUCAACAAUGGAUCUCUUGGUUCUGGCAUCGAUGAAGAACGCAGC
rnacentral:misc_RNA from 1 species